GACGAACGCUGGCGGCGUGCCUAAUACAUGCAAGUCGAGCGGAAUGAUGAAGAAGCUUGCUUCUUCUGAUUUUAGCGGCGGACGGGUGAGUAACACGUGGGCAACCUACCUUGUAGAUUGGGAUAACUCCGGGAAACCGGGGCUACUACCGAAUAAUCCAUUUCGCUUCAUGGCGGAAUGUUAAAAGGCGGCUUUUAGCUGUCACUGCAAGAUGGGCCCGCGGCGCAUUAGCUAGUUGGUAGGGUAACGGCCUACCAAGGCGACGAUGCGUAGCCGACCUGAGAGGGUGAUCGGCCACACUGGGACUGAGACACGGCCCAGACUCCUACGGGAGGCAGCAGUAGGGAAUCUUCCACAAUGGACGAAAGUCUGAUGGAGCAACGCCGCGUGAGUGAAGAAGGUUUUCGGAUCGUAAAACUCUGUUGUAAGGGAAGAACACGUACGAGAGUAACUGCUCGUACCUUGACGGUACCUUAUUAGAAAGCCACGGCUAACUACGUGCCAGCCGCCGCCGUAACAC
rnacentral:rRNA from 1 species